rnacentral:lncRNA from 1 species
GGGCAGGGCUAGCGCUUAAAGGAGCCGCGACCCCUUUGCAGACCAGAGGGUGACCCGGAUGAUGGCGGCCGGCGCGGCCCUAGCCCUGGCCUUGUGGCUACUAAUGCCACCAGUGGAGGUGGGAGGGGCGGGGCCCCCGCCAAUCCAGGACGGUGAGUUCACGUUCCUGUUGCCGGCGGGGAGGAAGCAGUGUUUCUACCAGUCCGCGCCGGCCAACGCAAGCCUCGAGACCGAAUACCAGGUGAUCGGAGGUGCUGGACUGGACGUGGACUUCACGCUGGAGAGCCCUCAGGGCGUGCUGUUGGGUGGAGCCAACGGAGGCCGGGGACUACAAGCUGUGCUUUGACAACUCCUUCAGCACCAUCUCCGAGAAGCUGGUGUUCUUUGAACUGAUCUUUGACAGCCUCCAGGAUGACGAGGAGGUCGAAGGAUGGGCAGAGGCUGUGGAGCCCGAGGAGAUGCUGGAUGUUAAAAUGGAGGACAUCAAGGAGUCCAUUGAGACCAUGCGGACCCGGCUGGAGCGCAGCAUCCAGAUGCUCACGCUACUGCGGGCCUUCGAGGCACGUGACCGCAACCUGCAAGAGGGCAACUUGGAGCGGGUCAACUUCUGGUCAGCUGUCAACGUGGCGGUGCUGCUGCUGGUGGCUGUGCUGCAGGUCUGCACGCUCAAGCGCUUCUUCCAGGACAAGCGCCCGGUGCCCACGUAGCCCCUGCCAU